GGAAGGAUCAAAGCUACAAUGGGCUUGGCUGCGCUUCUCCAGGAAUGGCUGGAGGACGACUUCUGCUUGGUGAGCAGCCAUUUAUGCCACCCCAGUGCUGGUAGGUCACCUCUCCUGGGCUGAGGAGCAGGAGCUCAAUGAUUAACUAGAGGAGGCCAUCUCUGGAGGACAGAAAGAGCCUUCUGAUCCGGUUAGCCAUGCAGACCUGAGCCUGGAUUUUCCUUCCCACUCCACUUUGAGAGAAGGGUGGGUUUAUUUCCUCAGUUCUCCUUCCUGUAGCAGGAAGAGAGAGUAGAAACCCAACUUCCCAGACACCAAUUCCAUUUCCACACAAAGCAGUAUAGCCCAGACCUAAGGGUUCUGGAGCCACACAGACCUGGUUUGAAUCCUGGUUCCAUCACUUAUCUGUUCUGGGACAAUGGGCAAGUGCCUUAACCUUCCUGGGCUACAACUUAGUGAUGGAAAUUAAUGGAGUAAAACCUCAUUCAGAACAUUUUUUCAAAACUGAUGCCAUCCUGGGAACAACUUGCAGAAUGCUAUUUUUCUUGCACCGAUCAAAAAAAGGUUAGUUACACUAGGUGUCAUCCCGGGGAAUCAGGUCUCAUCACAUGGCCCACACCAUCUGAGACCUUUUCAGAUCCUCUAAGAUGCUGAGAUAAGAAGCCAUCUGGUCUUGGAGGGAAUGGAGAUGGGCAUUGUCAAUGACACGGAAGUCUGAGAAGUGUCCUAUUCAUGCCUUUGGAAAAGACUUCUCUGCCUGUCUGGUUUUUAUGCUCUCCCCACACUUUAGGAGAAAAUAGUGGUUUUGCUGACUUCAUCUGGUCACCUCCGCAAAUCCCCCCAACCCCUGUUAUUUUGUGUCUGCUGUGUUCCAGAUCCUCUGCUGGACUACCUACAUACACUAUCUCAUUUUGUCUCCAUAACCAAACCAAUGGAGUAGGUAUUAUUAUCCCAUUUUAUACAUGAGAAAACCGAGAUUCAGAUAGAUUGAGUCAACUGCCCCAGCCAGUAAGUUAGAGCACCAUAAUUCAAACCUAAAUCCGUGUAAUUCCACAGUCUAUUCCAUAGCCUGUGUCUUCUUCCCCUAGGAAAGUGCCUGGAUACUUCUGGAGCAGAAUUCUCCUGGGGUGGGUGGUUCACACAACUGACCCACUUCAUCCCCACUCAGCAAAAUGAGAGUGCCAUUGACUCUGAUGACAAAACGCUGAACUGGAAAGCUCUGCAGUAAAACGUGGUGCAGAACAGAGAAAGAACUAAGACAUUCUGCACAGAUGGUAUCAUGCCCUCUAUGAGGAAACUACUCCAGCUUAUCUGUGUUUCAAAUGAUGUCUUUAAACUACUUAUUUUAAAUGCCCUAAAAAAAAUGGAAAGGCUUCUUUGGAGCGGAAAGGGCUUGGAGUUGCUAGGCUGUUCUACAUUCAAUAGGCAUUUAUUGUGCAGCUACAAAAUGCUGCAUCAAGCACCCGGCAGUGGAAAGGUGAUUCAGACACAGUUCCUUUGACAAAACCUCAAAAUCCCAUGUGAAGUUCUCUUUUAUAAAGUAAAUCAGAAAAGAUGCAAAAGUUGAAGUACAGAAACAAAAUAAUAUAAAUGCAAGCAGUAAAGCGUUAUUCACUGUAAAUAGAAGCACUUAAUAAGUGGUUGUUGUUUCUGUUCUUCUCUCUAAUAAGUGAAUACAGGUGGCUAAAUGUUUUUGUUGAGCUAUGAGGACCUCAUUCUGUCGAGUGACUCAGAAAGUCUCUCAGUGUUAGACUGGAAACAGGUGAUGUUCAGUGCAUGCAAUGCUUGAAGUGUUCCCAGGUAUUUAGUUCCAGGUAAAUUUUACUGUUUAAAAAAAUUGUUUUUACUUGCUAUUAAGUGUGUUGACCUUGGACAAUUUAUUUAAUAUCUGUAUGCCUUGCUUCCUUUUCUGCAAAAUGAGAGUAAGAAAGGUGCUUACCCCAUUGGCUUUUUGUGAACAUUAAAUGAGAUAAUAUGUGGGAGAAAAGAUGUUUUUAAAUAAUCAGUUCUUAGCAGUUGGUCAUUGUUGUGAGUUACAUCAUGCAUAGUUAAAUAUUUUUUAAAUAAUCAAAAUUUAUUUUCUUACAGGAAAAAGGAGGGACUGAAUUGUGAAUCCAUUUUCUCUGCUUUCAGUUAUUUCUACUCCUGAGAAAAUGCCUAAGUGCUUAGGGUCCAGAACCACAUCCCGAGACUGUAAGUUCUUCCCACAUUUUCACAUGCGCAUGAAACACCUGUGGGUCUCCUUCAAGUGGAGCUUCUCACUCGGAGCUUCUCACUCGGGAGGUCUGGGGUCAGGCCUGAGACCUUGCAUUUCUAACAAACUCCCAAUUGAUGCUGGUGCCACUGGUUCUGAAUUAAGAUGCUUGUUUACCUAGUGACAGCAAUAAAAAUUGUAGCAAUGGUGUCCAGAGGUAAACAGCAUACUUUUAUAGGGCUAGUCGAAUGAACCCAAAAUACAAAAUGAAAGCAAACCUCACAAUCUUCUUGCAAUGAUUUAUUACUCUGAGAGCUCAUUUUAGGUGGGAUUGUCUCCCUCCGGAGCCUGAUUCCUAAAAGUUUUCUAUGACUUUGAAAUUAUCAUUUUCCUUUUGAAGGUAGCACAAUGUAAGAGCUAAGAAGAGAAUGAGAACCAGAGUCCCUCCCAGGUGCGUCUCUAGAACCAAGACCCAGGCUGUUCUUUCUCUCGUUUCUCCAUAGACCACUAAGCACAGUUUGGAAUACAUCAUAUGACUCAUCAGUUGCUACUGGUGUAAACAAUGAGGCCCAUAGAGGUUAUCACCUGCCCAACUGGACAGCUGUGAAGCCACAGCUCACACCUUUUGCUGCCUAUGUGCACAUACCCCCGCAACUGCAGCGCGCUUUCUCUUGUGCUGCUCUCCCUGGAGAGAUGGUGCUUUUCCCCAACACGUAUGUAACAAUUCUUACAAAGUUAUUGAUUAGUGCAGCCACUUUAGAGGAUCAUUUGUCAACGUCUAUUAAAAUUUAAAAUUUGCAUACUCUAUCACACAGCAAUUCCACCGGCAUCGCCCUAGAAAAAUACUCACAAAAGUACACAAGGAGCUAUGUCCAAGGAUCUUCAGUGAAGUAUCGUUAUAAUGGACAUUUAGUUACAACUUAAAUGUUCACUGACUGGGGAAUGACCAGAAACAGAAAACAGAGAACUAUGCUGUAUAACCAUCACAUGAAAUUCUGGGCAGUGGUAGAAAGGAAUGAAUGAAUCUGCUGGUGCUUACACGAAAAGAGACAUAUUGUGAAGGGAAGGAAGUUUCAGAAUGAAGUUUACAAGUAGGAUUCCACAUGUUAAAGAACAACAAGAGAUUUGGGCGUUUUGUAUGCAGACAUAUACGUGUAUGUAAACAUAUAGGAAAAGGUCUGAAAUGACACAAGCCAAACUGAUAACAAAAAUUACCCAUCGAGAAGAGGAAAGUGAUAGAAAAGACAGAAUAUUGAUCAAGGGGAUUCUAGCCUUAUCUGAGCCGUUUGAAUUUUUUUCACAAGAAUAAUGUAUUCAUGUGUUACUCGUAUGCUUACAAUAAAUCUAAAAUAAGGUUGUCCUAA